rnacentral:lncRNA from 1 species
UUUGCUGAAGAUCUUUUGUAAGAAUAAAAAUAUUUUUUAAAGCAAUAUUAUUAUUUAGAAUUGCAGCUUCAGUUUUACCCGCAAUCCUAAUCUUUGAACUAUUAGCUGAAGUAAGCCUUUCUUUAGUUUCUUGAUGAUACUUUUUAGGAACCAGCUUAUAAUUGAUACAGUUAAAGUCUGCUCCUAUAUCAAACAAAGCGAUGGUUUCUAUUUGGAAAUCACCAGGGAAAAUGAGCUUUAUUUGGAUCAAAUAUUUUC